AUGAACGCUAGCUACAGGCUUAACACAUGCAAGUCGAGGGGCAGCAUGGUCUUAGCUUGCUAAGGCCGAUGGCGACCGGCGCACGGGUGAGUAACACGUAUCCAACCUGCCGUCUACUCUUGGACAGCCUUCUGAAAGGAAGAUUAAUACAAGAUGGCAUCAUGAGUUCACAUGUUCACAUGAUUAAAGGUAUUCCGGUAGACGAUGGGGAUGCGUUCCAUUAGAUAGUAGGCGGGGUAACGGCCCACCUAGUCUUCGAUGGAUAGGGGGUUCUGAGAGGAAGGUCCCCCACAUUGGAACUGAGACACGGUCCAAACUCCUACGGGAGGCAGCAGUGAGGAAUAUUGGUCAAUGGACGAGAGUCUGAACCAGCCAAGUAGCGUGCAGGAAGACGGCCCUAUGGGUUGUAAACUGCUUUUAUAAGGGAAUAAAGUGAGUCUCGUGAGACUUUUUGCAUGUACCUUAUGAAUAAGGACCGGCUAAUUCCGUG
rnacentral:rRNA from 1 species